GGCAAUGCUUCCCUGUCUCCUUCUGUACUGUGGAAGCUUUGCUCUUUUACUCUGCAAUAAAUCUUGCUGCUGCUAACUGUUUGGGUCCACGCUACCUCUAUAAGCUGUAACACUCACCAUAAAGGUCUUACAGCUUCAUUCCUGAAGCCAGUGAGACCACGAACCCAGCAGGAGGAACGAACAACUCCAGACGCGCUGCCUUAAGAGCUGUUAACACUCACCGCAAGGUCUGCAGCUUCACUCCUGAAGCCAGAGAGACCACGAACCCAGCAGGAGGAAUGAACAACUCCAGAUGCGCCGCCUUAAGAGCUGUAACGCUCACCGCGAAGGUCUGCAGCCUCACUCCUGAGCCAGCGAGACCACGAACCCACCAGAAGGAAGAAACUCCGAACACAUCCGAACCUCGGAAGGAAGAAACUCCAAACACAUCCAAACAUCAGAAGGAACAAACUCUGCACACACCGCCUUUAAGAACUGUAACACUCACCACCAGGGUUCGCGGCUUCAUUCUUGAAGUCAGUGAGACCAAGAAGCCACCAAUUCCGGACACAAUAUGAAGUAAGUUUUCCUAUGUCUUUUAAAAAUAUAUAUUAAUAUAUUUAAUAAGAAUUUAUUACCUUUUCACUACCCUAUUUGGUACUAUUCUUAUUCAUUUUACUUUUUAUUUUUAAAAACUUUUGCAGUGGUAUGAUUGUAUAUGGAAAGGUCAAUGAAAAAAAUUCACUCUUCCUAAUCUGAAAUGGCAUGUUUAUUUUCAUUUAUUUAUUUUUACUGACAUGACCAUAUAAGGGUUAGUGAAAGAAAAUGUUCACUACUUAAAGUUUCCUGGCCAUUAAUUAUUUGUUUCAUUUCAUGAUUAUUCCUCAAAAUAACUUUGUCAGGUAGAGGAAGAAAAGUUAAAACAUAAUCCGCUCUGUCAAACACACGAGAUAGAACACUAAGGCUUGAUCCAAAAAUAUGUGGAGCCUAUUUCCAAGGCAGUUCAGUUAACUUUUUCCACUCAGCCAUGUGGGUUCCCACCUCACCCUCCUCUCUUCUUGCUGCUCAGUCUUUCCAUUGUCCUCCUCACUGCCUCACCCAGCUCCUAAGUGCCGUUUUAAUAUG
rnacentral:lncRNA from 1 species